AACGUAGGAGGCAAGCGUUAUCCGGAUUUACUGGGCGUAAAGCGUGUGCAGGCGGUUGUCCAAGUCGGGUAUGAAAGCGCUCCGCUUAACGGGGCGAGGCUAGACGAGACUGGGCGACUAGAAUCAGACAGAGGCAAGCGGAAUUCCGAGUGUAGAGGUGAAAUUCGUAGAUAUUCGGAAGAACACCAGUGGCGAAGGCGACUUACUGGACACAUAUUGACGCUGAGGUGCGAAAGCGUGGGGAGCAAACAGG
rnacentral:rRNA from 1 species